rnacentral:rRNA from 1 species
GAUGAACGCUGGCGGCGUGCCUAAUACAUGCAAGUCGAGCGAACAGACGAGGAGCUUGCUCCUCCGACGUUAGCGGCGGACGGGUGAGUAACACGUGGAUAACCUACCUAUAAGACUGGGAUAACUUCGGGAAACCGGAGCUAAUACCGGAUAAUAUAUUGAACCGCAUGGUUCAAUAGUGAAAGACGGUUUUGCUGUCACUUAUAGAUGGAUCCGCGCCGCAUUAGCUAGUUGGUAAGGUAACGGCUUACCAAGGCGACGAUGCGUAGCCGACCUGAGAGGGUGAUCGGCCACACUGGAACUGAGACACGGUCCAGACUCCUACGGGAGGCAGCAGUAGGGAAUCUUCCGCAAAGGGCGAAAGCCUGACGGAGCAACGCCGCGUGAGUGAUGAAGGUCUUCGGAUCGUAAAACUCUGUUAUUAGGGAAGAACAAAUGUGUAAGUAACUAUGCACGUCUUGACGGUACCUAAUCAGAAAGCCACGGCUAACUACGUG